rnacentral:rRNA from 1 species
UACGUAGGGUGCGAGCGUUGUCCGGAUUUAUUGGGCGUAAAGAGCUCGUAGGCGGUUCGAUAAGUCGGACGUGAAAUCUCCACGCUCAACGUGGAGGGGCCGUUCGAUACUGUCGUGACUCGAGUCCGGUAGGGGAGUGUGGAAUUCCCGGUGUAGCGGUGAAAUGCGCAGAGAUCGGGAGGAACACCCGUAGCGAAGGCGGCACUCUGGGCCGGUACUGGACGCUGAGGAGCGAAAGCGUGGGGAGCAAACAGG